rnacentral:rRNA from 1 species
CAGAGGUCCCAAGCGUUGUUCGGAUUCAUUGGGCGUAAAGGGUGCGUAGGCGGUUGCCUAAGUCAGGUGUGAAAUCUCGAGGCUCAACCUCGAAACUGCACUUGAUACUGGGUGACUUGAGUACUGGAGGGGAGACUGGAAUUUACGGUGUAGCAGUGAAAUGCGUAGAUAUCGUAAGGAAGACCAGUGGCGAAGGCGAGUCUCUGGACAGUUACUGACGCUGAGGCACGAAGGCUAGGGGAGCAAACGGGAUUAGAUACCCCGGUAGUCCUAGCAGUAAACGGUGCACGUUUGGUGUAGGAGGAUUCGACCCCUUCUGUGCCGGAGCUAACGCGUUAAACGUGCCGCCUGGGAAGUACGAUCGCAAGAUUA